rnacentral:misc_RNA from 1 species
GAAGUGCGACAAGUGUCAUGACUUGCAGAUUCCCGAGAGCUGACAAAUCUCUGAAUGCAAAUGGCGGUCGUCACAACGGCCAUGGAUUGCAGAGUGUAGUUGUUCAUACCUUUCAUCCCAUAUUCAUCAUCAUACAUCAUAUAUAUGAUGUCAUAUGAUAUGGAUAUGUUAAGGCAUCUGCACUUAUGAUCCCCUCCAAUCAUCAUGAGUGUGAAACGAUAUGAAUCGAGAGUCCUUCCAAAUGGAUCAUCAUCAUCAUGAUAUCAUCCAUUGGAAAUCACUUCGAAUAGGACCCGUUGAUAUGAUGCACAUUGCAACCAUGUCAAUGAGUUAUAUAGAAGUUUGAGAAGAAGACUUGAAGAUAUAGAUAUAUAUAUAUAGAAAGCCACCUCUGCGAUGC